UACGGGGGGGGCAAGCGUUGUUCGGAAUUACUGGGCGUAAAGGGCUCGUAGGUGGCCAACUAAGUCAGACGUGAAAUCCCUCAGCUUAACUGGGGAACUGCGUCUGAUACUGGAUGGCUUGAGUUUGGGAGAGGGGCGCGGAAUUCCAGGUGUAGCGGUGAAAUGCGUAGAUAUCUGGAGGAAUACCGGUGGCGAAGGCGGCAUCCUGGACCAUAACUGACGCUGAGGCGCGAAAGCUAGGGGAGCAAACGGG
rnacentral:rRNA from 1 species